GAAUUUUGGACAAGGGGCGAAAGCCUGAUCAAGCAAUGCGCCGUGCAGGAUGAGGGCCUUCGGGUUGUAAACUGCUUUUGCACGGAACGCAAAGCGUGGGGUCCAUACCCUGGAUGUGUGACGGUGCCGGAAGAAUAAGCAACGGCUACAUACGUGCCCGCAGCCGCGUUAAUACGUGGGGUUCAAGCGUUAAUCGGACGUACUGGGCGUAAGGCGUGCGCAGUCGGCUUUGUAAGACAGAGGUGAAAUCCCCGGUCUAAACCUGGGAACUGCGUUGGUGACGGCAAGGCUAGAGUACGGCAGAGGGGGGUGGAAUUCCGCAUGUAGCAGUGAAAUGCGUAGAUAUGCGGAGGAACACCGAUGGCGAAGGCAACCCCCUGGGCCUGUACUGACGCUCAUGCACGAAAGCGUGGGGAGCAAACA
rnacentral:rRNA from 1 species